AUUGAACGCUGGCGGAAUGCUUUACACAUGCAAGUCGAGCGGCAGCGCGGGGCAACCUGGCGGCGAGCGGCGAACGGGUGAGUAAUGCAUCGGAACAUGUCCAUGUCGUGGGGGAUAGCCCGGCGAAAGCCGGGUUAAUACCGCAUACGCCCGAGAGGGGAAAGUGGGGGACCGCCAGGCCUCACGCGAUUGGGUUGGCCGAUGUCCGAUUCGCUUGUUGGUGAGGUAAAGGCUUACCAAGGCGAUGAUCGGUAGCUGGUCUGAGAGGAUGAUCAGCCACACUGGGACUGAGACACGGCCCAGACUCCUACGGGAGGCAGCAGUGGGGAAUUUUGGACAAUGGGGGCAACCCUGAUCCAGCCAUUCCGCGUGAGUGAAGAGGGCCUUCGGGUUGUAAAGCUCUUUUGUCCGGAGCGAAACGGUGGCGGUGAAUAUCCGCCACUACUGACGGUACCGGAAGAAUAAGCACCGGCUAACUACGUGCCAGCAGCCGCCGUAAAAC
rnacentral:rRNA from 1 species